ensembl:ncRNA lncRNA:CR45448 long non-coding RNA:CR45448
AUUUAAUUAUAAAAUGUUUGGGUUUCUAAAACACGUUAUAUAAUUUUAUUCCAAAUUGGUGAUUGUGGUUUCCGAGGCACAGCUUCAACUUGGAGUGUGGCGCCAUCCCGUCAGUCAUUGUGUGGUAGACUAAAUAUAAACUGCACUCCAAAUGACGGGGCAACUUCUGUCUCCGCUCGCAUAUGUGUGUGCGUUCCAUUUUGCCUCGCUGUCAGCGCAAUUGCUGUCAUUGCACUUAACGCACUUGCGCCCAUUCAGGGGCGGUUGGCUAGGAGGGGGUCGUCAGAAUACUGGGUGCCAGACGGGGGAGGCAGCAUCCUCAUCCAGCGGCAACUGGCUGCAAUUAUGGCGUCUCAAUGCGUUUUGUGCGUGGCUUCGGCAGUGAGACUGGAAGCCUGCCGCUGCAUAUUUGCAGCACCAGACGAACUAAGAGCAGAGUAGAAAAAUACACUGAACAAAAUGCGGUUCUGCAAACCAAGUACAUAAAUUUUAUUAAGACUGUGGAAAAUAUUGAUCUCUAAGCACGAUCUAUAUCCUAAGCUU